rnacentral:rRNA from 1 species
CGUAGGGUGCAAGCGUUGUCCGGAAUUAUUGGGCGUAAAGAGCUCGUAGGCGGUCUGUCGCGUCGGCUGUGAAAACUCGGGGGCUCAACCCCGAGCCUGCAGUCGAUACGGGCGAGACUAGAGUGCUGUAGGGGAGGACUGGAAUUCCUGGUGUAGCGGUGGAAAUAGCGCAGAUAUCAGGAGGAACGACCGGUGGCGAAGGGCGGGGUCGUCUGGGCGAGUAACUGACGCUGAGGAGCGAAAGCGUGGGGAGGCGAACAGGAUU